ACCUUUUGGAGUUAGUUAGACCAAAAAAAAAUGAAAAAUGAAAAAAAAAUGUUUGGGGUUUUCGGGCUUCCUGAAUGUAAUACCCGGGUAUUAGAUUUUAAGGCUAGGGUAAGGUUUAAGUUUUAUGGCGUUAGGGUUAAAAUCACUGUCCAAAACCUUUGUAGGAACUCUUUUCCAAUUUUUUGGAGCUAGUUAGACCAAAAAAAAAAGAAAAAUGAAAAAAAAAUAUAUAUGGGGUGUUCGGGCUUCCUAAAAGUAAUACCCGGGUAUUAGAUUUUAAGGCUAGGGUAAGGUUUAAGUUUUAUGGCGUUAUGGUUAAAAUCACUGUCCAAAACAUUUGUAGGAACUCUUUUCCAACUGUUACGGCUGUGUGUUUGUUUUGCAUGUGUUUUCCUCUUUUGUCUCUCCAUAGCUGCCCAGGUGAAAUCACUUGAGUGACAAUCAGACUCACCUGGUGCUGGGAGUCUAAAAGCCCAGAGCUGCCUGCAGUCUGGAGAGGCAUUUGGUGGGGAACUGCUGCCCUGCUGCCUCUCAUUUGUGUUGUGGGUGCUUUGUGUUUAGUUUGCAAUUUUGUUGUUUUUUCACAAUAAAUCACGUGUUAAACUUUUGAAGGUGUUUUGGUUAAUUUGAUGGGUAAAAAGUUGAGGAUUGUUGUUAGCCCCAUAGGGCCGCCUAAGGGUGGGGUGUAACACCAACCUUUUGGAGUUGGUUACACCAACAAAAAUGUAAAAUGAAAAAAAAAAUAUUUGGGGUGUUCGGGCUUCCUGAAGGUAAUACCCGGGUAUUAGGUUAUGGGGCUAUGGUAAGGUUUAAGCUUAAUGGCAUUAGGUUUAAAAUCACUGUCCAAAACCUUUGUAGGAACUCUUUUCCAACCUUUUGGAGUUAGUUAGACCAAAAAAAAAAAAAUGAAAAAUGAAAAAAAAAUAUUUGGGGUGUUCAGGCUUCCUAAAAGUAAUACCCGGGUAUUAGGUUAUGGGGCUAUGGUAAGGUUUUAUUGUUUGGCGUUAGGUUUAAAAUCAAAAAAACAAACAAACAAACAAACAAAAAAUCUCAAAAACAAAAGUUCAAACAAGACACAAACUCAAGAUCAAAAAACACCACAAACUCAAGUUCAACCAACACCCAAAUCUCAAGUUUAACAAUUGCCACAACCUCUAGUUCAAAAACAACACAAACUCAAGUUCAAACACGACACAAACUCAGGUGCAAAAACACCACAAACUCGAGUUCAACAAUUGCCACCAACUAAAGUUCAGAGAAAAAUACAGACUCAAGUUCAACAAAUUCCAAAAUUUCAAGUUCAACAAAUGACCUAAACUCACAUUUAACAAUUGCCAAAAACUUAAAAGUUAAAAAAGUGCCACAAACUGAAGUUCAAAAACACCACAAACUGAAGUGUGUGAGGACAUGCAAACCACCAGACUGCACCUGUCUCAGCAAUGGGCUGAAGUGCACAAACCUGUGCAAAUUACAAACUUGUGCCAACCAGUACAGUGAGGAAGAGCCCCUUGCACACCGGCAGAUUCAGAUGUAGAAGAAGAUACAGAUACUGAUGUCGAUUACUGAUGUUGAUUAAUAAGUGAUGACCAAAGGGAGCUAUGUUAGCAGACCCACUGUGACUCAGUGACAGAAUUAUGUGCUAAGCCAAAACUUGUCAUAUUUGCCGUCACUGUUCCUUAUGGAAAGAAUAGGACUUUGAAUAGGAAUUGGAGUUUUUCUCAGAUGAUUGUAUAGAGUGUAUACAUCAGUAGAUCUUAUUUUGUUGCUAAUGUCUUCUUGCCCUGCACCAGCCAGGAUGAUUGUAUAUUGAGUGCCUACAUUUAAAAUAUGUCAGUGUCAUAUUAAAGUUGUGUUAUUAUAAUGCUAUUAGUCUGCAUUUAUUUUAUUUCUACUUCUAAGUCAAAAAAUAUCCUUAAUUUAGACCUUGAUUUAGACCUGACAAUUAGCUAAUUGAAGCUUAUAUAUACACACCUGUAUUAGAUAAAUUACUUGAAAUACUACUUAGGGGGUUAAUACAAGUCUCUAUGGCUAGCCAAUAGUUCAAACACACCUAAAUGAGAGGUUAAAAUGAAAGAAAGCUCAUUUUGAAGGAAGGCGAUUUUUCGUUUUUGAACAGCUGCACUCUAUUACUUCAAUGAGUAAUAACUACAAUAAAGCUACCAGUUACCAAGGUCUAUCAAAUAAAAACUUAUUGUAGGGAUGUAUAAAAAAAUCACAACUAGAAUUUGCCCACCUAGGUGGUACCGAUAUGUGAAAUUUUGGUUCUUGGCUUAAGGACUAAAACUCAAGUUCAACAAACACAACAAGUCAAGUUCAAGCAACACCCGAUCCUCAAGUUCAACAAUUUCCACAAACUUAAGUUAAAAAACACCAGAACCUCUAGUUCAAAAAACAUGAUAAACUCAAGUUCAAAUAUGCCACAAACUCAAGUUCAAUGAACACCACAAACUCAAGUUCAACCACCACCCGAUUCUCAAGUUUAACAAUUGCCACAACCUCAAGGUUAAAAAAAACACAAACUCAAGUUCAAACACUUCACAAACUCAAGUUCAAAAACACCACACAAACUCAAGUUCAACAAACACCACAAACUCAAGUUAAACAAACACAACAAGUCAAGUUCAAGCAACACCCGAUCCUCAAGUUCAACAAUUUCCACAAACUUAAGUUAGAAAACACCAGAACCUCAAGUUCAAAAAACAUAAUAAACUCAAGUUCAAAUAUGCCACAAACUCAAGUUCAAUGAACACCACAAACUCAAGUUCAACCACCACCCGAUUCUCAAGUUUAACAAUUGCCACAACCUCAAGGUUAAAAAAACACAAACUCAAGUUCAAACACUUCACAAACUCAAGUUCAAAAACACCACACAAACUCAAGUUCAACAAACACCACAAACUCAAGUUAAACAAACACAACAAGUCAAGUUCAAGCAACACCCGAUCCUCAAGUUCAACAAUUUCCACAAACUUAAGUUAGAAAACACCAGAACCUCAAGUUCAAAAACAUAAUAAACUCAAGUUCAAAUAUGCCACAAACUCAAGUUCAAUGAACACCACAAACUCAAGUUCAACCACCACCCGAUUCUCAAGUUUAACAAUUGCCACAACCUCAAGGUUAAAAAAACACAAACUCAAGUUCAAACACUUCACAAACUCAAGUUCAAAAACACCACACAAACUCAAGUUCAACAAACACCACAAACUCAAGUUAAACAAACACAACAAGUCAAGUUCAAGCAACACCCGAUCCUCAAGUUCAACAAUUUCCACAAACUUAAGUUAGAAAACACCAGAACCUCAAGUUCAAAAAACAUAAUAAACUCAAGUUCAAAUAUGCCACAAACUCAAGUUCAAUGAACACCACAAACUCAAGUUCAACGAACGCCACAAACAAAAGUUCAACAAUUGCCACCAACUAAAGUUCACUAAAAACCAUAGACUCAAGUUCAACAAUUGCCAAAAAAUCAAGCCAAACAAACUCAAGUUCAUAAGUUGCCACAAACUUCAAACACGACACAAACUCAAGUUCAAAAACACCACAAACUCAAGUUCAAAAACGACACAAACUCAAGUUCAACAAGCAAAACUAACUAUUUAGAGUAAUUUUGAGGUGUUUGAGAGGUUUUUUGUAGACUUACCCUAGUGGUCCUAAGUUGUUGUUGAUGUGAGGGGUUUCUUUUCCAGUAGUCUAAAAUCUGUUGGAGGGGGGAAAGGUUCCAGCUGUCCAUCCGCGAUGGCAGCGGUGUGUCUGAAGUCCGGGGUCCUUGGCGGGGGAAAGAAGAUCAGCGCUCCGCGGGAAGGUUUGCUGGGACUCGGUGCUGUCGGCGGGUCGAAGCUCGGUGGUGGGCGGCUUGGAGUGAUGGAGGUGCGGCGUCUUCUUUCAGUUGGCGGCGCGGCGUCUUCCUCGAUGGUGGUCCGUCUUCUUGGUCCAGAGGUCAGUGCUUUGUCUCAAUAACUGGAACAGGAAUUGCUCUUUAGUGCACGGCACUUAAAUGUGCUUUUCACACGAGAAGACGUCCCCAGAGUUGGGCUCCAGUCAUGGUUUGUGCUGUUCCUCUCAGACAUGGUUGUGUUCUCUUCUCGAUGUUUGUAUUCCAGAAUGGAUGUCUCUUGGUUGUAUUUUAAACCUUCAAGUUGUUUUAAGUUAAUUUUAAUGUAGUUUAUUGUUUUAAAUUGAGUUUUGCUACAUUCAAUUUGUAUGCAAUCGCAAGGGAUUGUGGGUAUUUUAGUUCUGAGGGAUGAGAGCCUAAGGAAUCAAUCUUCCUGUUACAGCAAAGGAUUGUGGGUAAAACCGUGAGGGAGUGAGGUACUUCCUUUCUGGCAUGAGAGCCUUGGGAAUCAAUCUCCCUGUUGCAGCAAAGGAUUGUGGGUAAAACCGUGAGUGAGGGAGGUACAUUUUUCCUGGCAUGAGAACCUCAGGAGUCAGUCCUUCCUAAGAAAAAAGAGGGGAGGGGGGAAGAAAAACAAAAGCACAGGAACCCUAAAAUAAAAUAAAAUAAUAUAAAACAAUGAAAAAAUAAAAGAAGAACAAAAGUGGAUUGAAAAGGGAAAGGGGAAGAAAAAAGGAAAAAAAGAAGUGUCAAGAGCAAAUAGCAAAAAUCAGAAGUGAGCUUAAAAACAAAGAACAGUUCCCUAAAAAAAAAACAGAAAUGUAAAUCUGAUCAAUGUCCUAAGGGAAAAUCUGUACGUGUGUGUGUGUGUUCUUUUUUGCUAACUUAGUCUGGUGUCACUGAUGGUCAGUUAUUGAUAAGUAUUUAUUAUUUAAAUUUUUGAUGAAGUUGUUUGUAGUGGGGUUAGCUGGCUAAUUUUAGAGUGUUAAAAAAGAUGUUAGAGGGGGAGGAUUUAGGGGGCACCGCGGUUCCCCUUCAGGUCUCUCUUAAUCCUCCAUAUAGGUGACCCAACAGGGGUUACCCCCCGGCCGGGGUAGGCCGAGGCUGAAGAUCACCUAUUUGUCCUCUGUGAAGGUGAAAAUAAAGGGGCAGGGGAGGGAAUAAGAAAGGGGGGGUGUUAGAGAGAGGGGGAGAGAUGAGGGGGAGAGAUGAGGGAGAGAGAUGAGAGAGAGAGAGAGAGAGAGAGAGAGAGAGGUGUGUGUGUGUGUGUGUGUGUGUGUGUGUGUGUGAGAGAGAGAGAGAGAGAGAGAGAGAAGGGAAGAGGGAGAGGGGGGUUUAAGGGAGAGGUGGAGAUGGUGGAAAAUAAAGAUUGGUGAGGGGGAUGUUGACAUAUCACAUGUUCCCAGUCAAGUCUCCAAGCUCAAUCUGUGUGUAAAAAUUAUGUGUUGGUAGGAAGUUUAAUGACUCCACUCAAUUGGUAUGCCAUGCUGUCUAUCUUUUAGACUAUGUGUUUGUAAAUUAUGUAUAUAUUAUAUUACAGGGCUAGGGUAAGGUUAAAGGUUUUUGGCGUUAGGGUUAAAAUCACUGUCCAAAACCUUUGUAGGAACUCUUUUCCAACCUUUUGGAGUAAGCUAGACCAAAAAAAAAAAAAAAAAAAUGAAAAAAAAAAUGUUUGGGGUGUGAAGGCUUCCUUAAGUUAAUACCCGGGUAUAAGGUUCGGGAAUAGGGUAAGGUUGAAGGUUUUUGGCGUUAGGGUUAAAAUCACUGUCCAAAACCUUUGUAGGAACUCUUUUCCAACCUUUUGGAGUUAGCUAGACCAAAAAAAAAAAAAAAGAAAAAUGAAAAAAAAAAUGUUUGGGGUGUGAAGGCUUCCUUAAGUUAAUACCCGGGUGUUAGGUUCGGGAAUAGGGUAAGGUUGAAGGUUUUUGGCGUUAGGGUUAAAAUCACUGUCCAAAACCUUUUUAGGAACAUGUUUCAGACCUUUUGGAGUUGGUUACACCAAAAAAAAUGUAAAAUGAAAAAAAAAAAUUGGGGGGUUUUCGGACUUCCUGAAGGUAAUACCCAGGUAUUAGGUUAUGGGGCUAUGGUAAGGUUUAAGGUUUUUGGCGUUAGGGUUAAAAUCACUGUCCAAAACCUUUUUAGGAACAUGUUUCAGACCUUUUGGAGUUAGUUAGACCAAAAAAAAAAAAGAAAAAAAAAAAAGUAUUUUGGGUGUUCAGGACUCCUGAAGGUUAUACAGGUAUUAUAUUAGGUUAUGGGGCUUGGGUAAGGUUUAAGGUUUUUGGCGUUAGGGUUAAAAUCACUGUCCAAAACCUUUUUAGGAACAUGUUUCAGACCUUUUGGAGUUGGUUACACCAAAAAAAAUGUAAAAUGAAAAAAAAAAUUUGGGGGGUUUUCGGACUUCCUGAAGGUAAUACCCAGGUAUUAGGUUAUGGGGCUAUGGUAAGGUUUAAGGUUUUUGGCGUUAGGGUUAAAAUCACUGUCCAAAACCUUUUUAGGAACAUGUUUCAGACCUUUUGGAGUUAGUUAGACCAAAAAAAAAAAGAAAAAAAAAAAAGUAUUUUGGGUGUUCAGGACUCCUGAAGGUUAUACAGGUAUUAUAUUAGGUUAUGGGGCUUGGGUAAGGUUUAAGGUUUUUGGCGUUAGGGUUAAAAUCACUGUCCAAAACCUUUGUAGGAACUCUUUUCCAACCUUUUGGAGUAAGCUAGACCAAAAAAAAAAAAAUGAAAAAUGAACAAAAAAAAUGUUUGGGGUGUGAAGGCUUCCUUAAGUUAAUACCCGGGUAAAAGGUUCGGGAAUAGGGUAAGGUUGAAGGUUUUUGGCGUUAGGGAUAAAAUCACUGUCCAAAACCUUUAUAGGAACAUGUUUCAGACCUUUUGGAGUUGGUUACACCAAAAAAAUGUAAAAAGAAAAAAAAAUAAUUGGGGUGUUCGGGCUUCCUGAAGGUAAUACCCAGGUAUUAGGUUAUGGGGCUAUGGUAAGGUUUAAGGUUUUUGGCGUUAGGGUUAAAAUCACUGUCCAAAACCUUUUUAGGAACAUGUUUCAGACCUUUUGGAGUUAGAUAGACCAAAAAAAAAAAAAAAAAAGUAUUUUGGGUGUUAAGGCCUCCUGAAGGUUAUACAGGUAUAAUAUUAGGUUAUGGGGCUUGGGUAAGGUUUAAGGUUUUUGGCGUUAGGGUUAAAAUCACUGUCCAAAACCUUUGUAGGAACUCUUUUCCAACCUUUUGGAGUUAGCUAUACCAAAAAAAAAAAAAAAAAGAAAAAUGAAAAAAAAAAUGUUUGGGGUGUGAAGGCUUCCUUAAGUUAAUACCCGGGUGUUAGGUUCGGGAAUAGGGUAAGGUUGAAGGUUUUUGGCGUUAGGGUUAAAAUCACUGUCCAAAACCUUUGUAGGAACUCUUUUCCAACCUUUUGGAGUUACUUAGACCAAAAAAAAUGUAAAAUGAAAAAAAAAAUUUGGGGGGUUUUCGGGCUUCCUGAAGGUAAUACCCAGGUAUUAGGUUAUGGGGCUAUGGUAAGGUUUAAGGUUUUUGGCGUUAGGGUUAAAAUCACUGUCCAAAACCUUUUUAGGAACAUGUUUCAGACCUUUUGGAGUUAGUUAGACCAAAAAAAAAAAGAAAAAAAAAAAAAGUAUUUUGGGUGUUCAGGACUCCUGAAGGUUAUACAGGUAUUAUAUUAGGUUAUGGGGCUUGGGUAAGGUUUAAGGUUUUUGGCGUUAGGGUUAAAAUCACUGUCCAAAACCAUUGUAGGAACUCUUUUCCAACCUUUUGGAGUUACUUAGACCAAAAAAAAAAAAAUGAAAAAUGAAAAAAAAAUAUUUGGGGUGUUCAGGCUUCCUAAAAGUAAUACCCGGGUAUUAGGUUAUGGGGCUAUGGUAAGGUUUAAGGUUUUUGGCGUUAGGGUUAAAAUCACUGUCCAAAACCUUUGUAGGAACUCUUUCCCAACCUUUUGGAGUUAGUUAGACCAAAAAAAAAAUGAAAAAUGAAAAAAAAAUGUUUGGGGUUUUUGUGCUUCCUGAAUGUAAUACCCAGGUAUUAGGUUAUGGGGCUAGGGUAAGGUUUAAGUUUUAUGGCGUUAGGGUUAAAAUCACUGUCCAAAACCUUUGUAGGAACUCUUUUCGAACCUUCUGGAGUUAGUUAGACCAAAAAAAAAAAGAAAAAUGAAAAAAAAAUAUUUGGGGUGUUCAGGCUUCCUAAAAGUAAUACCCCGGUAUUAGGUUAUGGGGCUAUGGUAAGGUUUAACGUUUUUGGCGUUAGGGUUAAAAUCACUGUCCAAAACCUUUGUAGGAACUCUUUUCCAACCUUUUGGAGUUAGUUAGACCAAAAAAAAAAAAUGAAAAAUGAAAAAAAAAUAUUUGGGGUGUUCAGGCUUCCUAAAAGUAAUACCCGGGUAUUAGGUUAUGGGGCUAUGGUAAGGUUUAAGGUUUUUGGCGUUAGGGUUAAAAUCACUGUCCAAAACCUUUGUAGGAACUCUUUCCCAACCUUUUGGAGUUAGUUAGACCAAAAAAAAAAUGAAAAAUGAAAAAAAAAUGUUUGGGGUUUUUGUGCUUCCUGAAUGUAAUACCCAGGUAUUAGGUUAUGAGGCUAGGGUAAGGUUUAAGUUUUAUGGCGUUAGGGUUAAAAUCACUGUCCAAAACCUUUGUAGGAACUCUUUUCGAACCUUCUGGAGUUAGUUAGACCAAAAAAAAAAAGAAAAAUGAAAAAAAAAUAUUUGGGGUGUUCAGGCUUCCUAAAAGUAAUACCCCGGUAUUAGGUUAUGGGGCUAUGGUAAGGUUUAACGUUUUUGGCGUUAGGGUUAAAAUCACUGUCCAAAACCUUUGUAGGAACUCUUUUCCAACCUUUUGGAGUUACUUAGACCAAAAAAAUAUUAAAAAAGGAAAAAAAAAUAUUUGGGGUUUUCGGGCUUCCUGUGGUAAUACCCGGGUAUUAGAUUUAAAGGCCAGGGUAAGGUUUAAGCUUAAUGGCGUUAGGGUUAAAAUCACUGUCCAAAACCUUUGUAGGAACUCUUUUCCAACCUUUUGGAGUUACUUAGACCAAAAAAAAAACGAAAAAUGAAAAAAAAUAUUUGGGGUGUUCAGGCUUCCUCAAAGUAAUACCCGGGUAUUAGGUUAUGGGGCUAUGGUAAGGUUUAAGGUUUAUGGCAUUAGGGUUAAAAUCACUGUCCAAAACCUUUGUAGGAACUCUUUCCCAACCUUUUGGAGUUAGUUAGACCAAAAAAAAAAGAAAAAUGAAAAAAAAAUAUUUGGGGUGUUCAGGCUUCCUAAAAGUAAUACCCGGGUAUUAGGUUAUGGGGCUAUGGUAAGGUUUAAGGUUUUUGGCAUUAGGGUUAAAAUCACUGUCCAAAACCUUUGUAAGAACUCUUUUCCAACCUUUUGGAGUUGGUUACACCAACAAAAAUGUAAAAUGAAAAAAAAAAUAUAUGGGGUGUUCGGGCUUCCUAAAAGUAAUACCCGGGUAUUAGGUUAUGGGGCUAUGGUAAGGUUUAAGGUUUAUGGCAUUAGGGUUAAAAUCACUGUCCAAAACCUUUGUAGGAACUCUUUCCCAACCUUUUGGAGUUAGUUAGACCAAAAAAAAAUGAAAAAUGAAAAAAAAAUGUUUGGGGUUUUUGUGCUUCCUGAAUGUAAUACCCAGGUAUUAGGUUAUGGGGCUAGGGUAAGGUUUAAGUUUUAUGGCGUUAGGGUUAAAAUCACUGUCCAAAACCUUUGUAGGAACUCUUUUCGAACCUUCUGGAGUUAGUUAGACCAAAAAAAA